UACGAAGGUGGCAAGCGUUGUUCGGAUUUACUGGGCGUACAGGGCGCGUAGGCGGUUGGAUAAGUCCUCCGUGAAAUCUCCAGGCUUAACCUGGAAAGUGCAGAGGGGACUGUUCAGCUAGAGGAUGGGAGAGGAGCGCGGAAUUCCCGGUGUAGCGGUGAAAUGCGUAGAGAUCGGGAGGAACACCAAUGGCGAAGGCAGCCCCCUGGGUCAACACUGACGCUCAUGCACGAAAGCGUGGGGAGCAAACAGG
rnacentral:rRNA from 1 species